AGCGAACGCUGGCGGCAGGCCUAACACAUGCAAGUCGAACGAACUCUUCGGAGUUAGUGGCGGACGGGUGAGUAACACGUGGGAACGUGCCCUUUGGUACGGAAUAACUCAGGGAAACUUAAGCUAAUACCGUAUGUGCCCUUCGGGGGAAAGAUUUAUCGCCAUUGGAGCGGCCCGCGUCUGAUUAGCUAGUUGGUGAGGUAAAGGCUCACCAAGGCUACGAUCAGUAGCUGGUCUGAGAGGAUGAUCAGCCACAUUGGGACUGAGACACGGCCCAAACUCCUACGGGAGGCAGCAGUGGGGAAUCUUGCGCAAUGGGCGAAAGCCUGACGCAGCCAUGCCGCGUGAAUGAUGAAGGUCUUAGGAUUGUAAAAUUCUUUCACCGGGGACGAUAAUGACGGUACCCGGAGAAGAAGCCCCGGCUAACUUCGUG
rnacentral:rRNA from 1 species